CAGGACUACUGGGGGUGCCGAUAUCAUGGCUGAGAGGGAAUUCUUAUCCUAACCCCAACUACCUGAUCCGGUUAAUACCGGCGUAGGGAAGUAGCAAUCACUGACG
rnacentral:ncRNA from 2 species